ensembl:lncRNA
AAACACAGCCACAUAGAAGAUAUUUGUCUUUAUUCAUGUUGCUGCAGCCAAGUUGUAAUUAUUCUCUGAUUUUAUGGUCAAACUAUGAGAUUUUCCAAAUGUGUGUGGAGUGACAUGACCUUUCUCUGAUGAUCUAAAUGUCGUGACCAAGAAUCAUUCAGGAUGAACAACGUGAACAGUCUGCCUCAUAGUUCUCACAGGUGAGCGUCAGAAUUACAGACACAUUCUCAUGUCUGUGGUCUCUGGCUAACUUUUCAUGCUCUCCAUAAAUGCAGGAAUCUGCAGGUUUUAUUAAAACUGUCACAUCUCAACACUCAGUGCCAAAAACAGGGCUGAUCCCUGUUUCAUUUGAUAACUGCUUCAUGUUAACAAAUCCCGUUUUUUAAACCGUGAUGUAGAACAUGAUCUCUCUCACUCUCUCGUUCUCUAAAUAAAACCCAGCAAACUGGCAAUCACUUCUGAAAGAUGGGAGUAGUUCACUCUUUAUCAGCUGCAAGACCUUUAACCCUUGCUGCAAUGUGUCCCUCUGAGGGCCUAGUGCAGUAGUAGUAGUAAUAGUAGUAGUAUUGUGCGACACACAUGCACACAGGCUUAAAGAGACGUCACUCUUAUGGCUUGAAAAUUGUGAAAAUUUUUCAGAUACUCACAUCACAGUCCUGCUGCGAAUUAGAAACACUGAAAGGUCAAAGGUCAUUAUUAAAAGAGUUUACACUUGAGUUUCAGCCUAGACACAGACUUGAAAGUGAAUCAGAGAUAUAUUUGGGGGAAAAAAACAGAAAAAUAAAUAAUUAGAAAGAAUAGUGCACAAAUAGAAAAGCCCAAAAACCAAACCUGUACAAGAGUGAUUACUACUAAUCUACAAAUGGCUGCAAUAUGCAGAAAAUACACUUAGACAAUUUUGCAUUGAUGCAAUACUUAAAUUAAGGCCGUCUGCACUUCAGUUAACUCUCUUUUUUCUAAAAAAAAAAAAAAAGAAAAUGUAAUUGUGGGGACAUGGAGGGAAAAAAUGAUAUUAAUGUGUUGUUGUGGUCCUGGGUCUUGGACCCCAAGACUUUUAAGUUCUGUCAAAUAUUUUCAGCUUAACUUUUGGGUUGUUUAGUUGUUUGUGGUGUUUUGAGUCUUGAUUUCUUAGAUGCUAAUCCUCCUUUGGGUUGUCCAUGUUUAUGUUUUCAGGUUUUCUUAGUUCUAGUUUCAUCACUUUUACUUCCCUUUACCUUUUUAUCAUUCAAUUAGUUUCACUUGUUCCUUAUUGUACUCCAGCUGUGUUCUUUCCCCCCCAGUAGCCUCCAGUAUAUUUAAAGCCUCCAUUUGCAUGCGUUCACUGUUGUGUUGCACUGCUUGUUUCCUGCAUGCCUGUGAGCUUUUCCCCAUUUGAUGCCACUUGGUGGAUGAUUUUUUUUCUCUGUUAUGUGACUCUGCAUUUUGGGUUUCCACUUUCCACCAAACACAGGAUAUAAAGGCCUAUCCACAAAUUUGAUCAAAUCUAUAUAAUAAAUCAUGUUGGCACACAGUAUUUAGAUUUCACAUGAAUUAUUAGAAACCUGUAUUAUAAGUAAAGAUGGGUGGGUUCAAAUAGUCCCACCAACAUAAAUUGAAUUGAAUUGAAAGCCUUUAUUGUCACUAUACAUAGUGCAACGAGAUUAGAAACAGCUCUAUAAAAG